AAAUGAAUAGACGGGUCCCCGCACAAGCGGUGGAGCAUGUCGUUUAAUUCGAAGGCACGCGAAAAACCUUACCUGGGCUUGACAUCCCUCGGACCGCUCUAGAAAUAGAGCUUCCCUUCGGGGCUGAGGUGACAGGUGGUGCAUGGUUGUCGUCAGCUCGUGUCGUGAGAUGUUGGGUUAAGUCCCGCAACGAGCGCAACCCUCGUCUUUAGUUGCUAACAUUUAGUUGAGAACUCUAAAGAGACUGCCGGUGAUAAACCGGAGGAAGGUGGGGAUGACGUCAAAUCAUCAUGCCCCUUACGUCCAGGGCUACAGACGUGCUACAAUGGCUAGUAUAAUGAGACGCAAUACCGUGAGGUGGAGCAAAUCUUCAAAGCUAGUCUCACUUCGGAUUGAAGUCUGCAACUCGACUUCAUGAAGAUGGAAUCGCUAGUAAUCCCAAAUCAGCAUGUUGGGGUGAAUACGUUCCCGGGGAUUGCACACACCGCCCGU
rnacentral:rRNA from 1 species